GACGAACGCUGGCGGCGUGCUUAACACAUGCAAGUCGAACGGUGAAGCGCCUUCCUUUUUGGUGGGUGCGGAUGAGUGGCGAACGGGUGAGUAACACGUGAGUAACCUGCCCCCUUCUUCUGGAUAACCGCAUGAAAGUGUGGCUAAUACGGGAUAUUCUGGGUCUGUCGCAUGAUGGGUCUGGGAAAGAUAUUGUUUCGGUGGGGGAUGGGCUCGCGGCCUAUCAGCUUGUUGGUGGGGUGAUGGCCUACCAAGGCGGUGACGGGUAGCCGGCCUGAGAGGGUGGACGGUCCCACUGGGACUGAGACACGGCCCAGACUCCUACGGGAGGCAGCAGUGGGGAAUAUUGCACAAUGGGCGCAAGCCUGAUGCAGCGACGCCGCGUGAGGGAUGGAGGCCUUCGGGUUGUGAACCUCUUUCGCCAGUGAAGCAGGCCUGCCUCGUUUGUGGGUGGGUUGACGGUAGCUGGAUAAGAAGCGCCGGCUAACUACGUG
rnacentral:rRNA from 1 species